AAGUCGUAACAAGGUUUCCGUAGGUGAACCUGCGGAAGGAUCAUUAACACGUAUCCACGUUAAUAUCAACGACCAAGAACUGUGCUCCCUGGUGGCCGACCUCUUUGCUGUCGAUAUGGGUUCUAAUGGAGUUAUAGCAUUCGAUUUGCGCGAUAGUUUGUUAUAGCAUACUUGUGUCGACUAUCACUCCUCGAGAGUGUGGCAAGGUAACUGGUCGCCAGGCUUACAUCAUUCAACUCUUCAACCCUUUUGAGGAGCGGUUUGGUACCCAUACCUAAUUUCACCCUAUUUUACCUAUUUGACUAAUUACGAGUUUCGAAUGGGAGAAAUCCUAUUUGGAAUGACCUAAGAUUUAUCUUAACUAAGCACAACUCUUAGCAAUGGAUAUCUUGGUUCUC
rnacentral:misc_RNA from 1 species